rnacentral:rRNA from 1 species
UACGUAGGGACCGAGCGUUGUCCGGAAUCAUUGGGCGUAAAGAGCGUGUAGGCGGCCUUUUAAGUCCUGCGUGAAAUCCUGCGGCUCAACCGCAGACGGUCGUGGGAAACUGGAAGGCUAGAGUGCGGGAGAGGAGAGUGGAAUUCCCGGUGUAGCGGUGAAAUGCGCAGAUAUCGGGAAGAACACCCGUGGCGAAGGCGGCUCUCUGGGACGGUACUGACGCUGAGACGCGAAAGCGUGGGGAGCGAACAGG